AUGGAUUACCGUUUCCGUGCCGCGACGCUUCUUUUGAUAAUAAUUAAUUCGUCCUACGUCCAUGCGAGAACGAGCGUUACAAUUUUCUAUGAAACGCACUGUCCGGACAGUCAGAAAUUGAUGAAUGACCAGGUCAUUCCGGCUCUGAAUCGCUUCAAAAAGGACGUCCUCUUCGAGCUUGUACCGUACGGUUUCGCCGAUCAUCGCUUCGCAAAUGGAGGUUUAGCCUUCAAAUGCCAGCACGGUAAGAAAGAAUGCCAAGGAAAUACCCUCCACGCAUGCGCUCUGAAACAUUAUCCACACCAGCGUGAAGACGUGGUCCGUUUCGCAGCCUGUAGCAUGGAUCACGGUCUCGAAGUGCUCAAAUACAUCGACGAGUGUGCUAGAAGCUUCAAGCUCGACCCUGUGAAGAUCAGGGCUUGCGCUGACUCCAGAGAGGGUUCGAAGUUGCUCCAAGAAAUGGGGGAACGAACGGGAGUUGGCGCCCGGAUCUAUUCGCCUACGAGGAGAAAGUUUUCCUUCAUACCUAGCACGUUCAUCGAUGGGCAACCGCAUAUUGAAGAAGCCAUGGCCGAUCUCCCGGGCGCCAUUUGUCGCCAUGCCAUCACGGUCUCAAGAAACUGCUAA